rnacentral:rRNA from 1 species
UACGAAGGGGGCUAGCGUUGUUCGGAAUUACUGGGCGUAAAGCGCACGUAGGCGGAUACUUAAGUUAGGGGUGAAAUCCCAGGGCUCAACCCUGGAACUGCCUUUAAUACUGGGUAUCUCGAGUCCGGAAGAGGUGAGUGGAAUUCCGAGUGUAGAGGUGAAAUUCGUAGAUAUUCGGAGGAACACCAGUGGCGAAGGCGGCUCACUGGUCCGGUACUGACGCUGAGGUGCGAAAGCGUGGGGAGCAAACAGGG